UUCUUCCUUUUCUGUAAAAACAAGAUAAAAACCAUAAAUUAAACUGAAAAAUGUGUAAAUAAGCAAUAAUAAUUAUGAUAAAAAUGUGGCUAAAUUAUGCUUGAUCAAAUACCCCCACACCUAACUUUUUGCUUGUCCUCAAGCAAUUAAUAACUUAGCCAAUCAAGCCCCCUUUUUCUUUAGAGCCUAAGUUCCACUUAAUCAGCUCCCCCUAGACUCCUAAACUGAAGUAUCACAGUAUAGAGUACAUGCACUAAGGUCAUCCUCUCCUUUCCUUGUUUCCUUUCACCUACCAUGGUCAAGAGAAAGGUUUUUG
rnacentral:lncRNA from 1 species